CGUACACUCCUACGGGAGGCAGCAGUGGGGAAUAUUGCACAAUGGGCGCAAGCCUGAUGCAGCCAUGCCGCGUGUAUGAAGAAGGCCUUCGGGUUGUAAAGUACUUUCAGCGGGGAGGAAGGCGAUAAGGUUAAUAACCUUGUUGAUUGACGUUACCCGCAGAAGAAGCACCGGCUAACUCCGUGCCAGCAGCCGCGGUAAUACGGAGGGUGCAAGCGUUAAUCGGAAUUACUGGGCGUAAAGCGCACGCAGGCGGUCUGUCAAGUCGGAUGUGAAAUCCCCGGGCUCAACCUGGGAACUGCAUUCGAAACUGGCAGGCUAGAGUCUUGUAGAGGGGGGUAGAAUUCCAGGUGUAGCGGUGAAAUGCGUAGAGAUCUGGAGGAAUACCGGUGGCGAAGGCGGCCCCCUGGACAAAGACUGACGCUCAGGUGCGAAAGCGUGGGGAGCAAACAGGAUUAGAAACCCUUGUAGUCCCA
rnacentral:rRNA from 1 species